GACGAACGCUGGCGGCGUGCCUAAUACAUGCAAGUAGAACGCUGAAGGAGGAGCUUGCUUCUCUGGAUGAGUUGCGAACGGGUGAGUAACGCGUAGGUAACCUGCCUGGUAGCGGGGGAUAACUAUUGGAAACGAUAGCUAAUACCGCAUAAUAGCAGUUGUUGCAUGGCAACUGUUUGAAAGGUGCAAUUGCACCACUACCAGAUGGACCUGCGUUGUAUUAGCUAGUUGGUGGGGUAACGGCUCACCAAGGCGACGAUACAUAGCCGACCUGAGAGGGUGAUCGGCCACACUGGGACUGAGACACGGCCCAGACUCCUACGGGAGGCAGCAGUAGGGAAUCUUCGGCAAUGGACGGAAGUCUGACCGAGCAACGCCGCGUGAGUGAAGAAGGUUUUCGGAUCGGAAAGCUCUGUUGUAAGAGAAGAACGAGUGUGAGAGUGGAAAGUUCACACUGUGACGGUAUCUUACCAGAAAGGGACGGCUAACUACGUG
rnacentral:rRNA from 1 species